rnacentral:lncRNA from 1 species
UCAGCCAAACUGUAGGAGCUGAGAAGAGGAAGCUUUGCUCAGGUCCUAAGAAAAAGGAGCAUUGGCAUGCCACACAGGGCUGCCCAGGCAGUGCCAGGAUUGGGCAGGAGGCAGGAGUACAGGAAGCAUGGAUCGAAGCCUCCAUGACCACAGAGGGGAGAAGUCACAAAGUAGGGACAGCCCUUAUUCGGCAGGAAACAAGUCACAGAUUUGUUUGUGGCUGGAGGGUUUGUGAUAUGACUUUUAGGCUACCUCGAAAGAGGGACUGAAGGGUGAUGUGGACACCUUUGGCCAUUAGUUUGGCCCUGUGAUUAGUGGAUGUCAAAUCAUCAAUUACAAGAUCUGUAGAAGGUGGUUGGAACAUCCCACCUUGUGCAGACAGUCUGUUCAUGCAAGUCGGGCAGGAAGCAUGAGUGGAAGCAGCAUGUGUCACCUCCUGCAAAGGACCAGCACAGGGGACACCACACUCCCUUCACCUGCCACAGUGGCCACGAAAGCACCUCCAUCAGCGUGCAUUCCCAAGUGACUCCCUGGGUGGCCUGACAGGUCUAGAGUCUUUCAAGUCUCUGCUGGCAUCUCAUCUGCGAACAUCCCACUGGCCACAGCAAAUCUCACGGUGGGAUGGUUAACUGUAUGUGUCAACUUGACUGGGCCACAGGGUGCCCAGAAAUUUGUUUCAACAUUAUUCUGGGUCUGUCUGGGAGGGUGACUGCAAAUGAGAUUAGCAUUUACAUUGGCAGACUGAGCCCAGCAGGUUGUCCCUGCCCCCCCACCCGAUGUGGCUGGGCCUCAGCCAGUCAGCUGGAGGCCUGAAUGGAGCAAGUCAGAGGGAACUCUUUCUGCUUGGACUGCUGUGAACCCGGGCAUUGGGUUUUGUGUUUUGUGUUUCUGCCUGUGGACCUGAACUGAAACAUCAGAUUUUCCCUUGGAAGCCCA